rnacentral:rRNA from 1 species
GUGGAUUAGAUACCCUGGUAGUCCACGCCGUAAACGAUGGAUACUAGCUGUUGGGCGCAAGUUCAGUGGCUAAGCGAAAGUGAUAAGUAUCCCACCUGGGGAGUACGUUCGCAAGAAUGAAACUCAAAGGAAUUGACGGGGGCCCGCACAAGCGGUGGAGCAUGUGGUUUAAUUCGAUGAUACGCGAGGAACCUUACCAAGGCUUAAAUGUAGAUUGACAGAUUUGGAAACAGAUUUUUCUUCGGACAAUUUACAAGGUGCUGCACGGCCGUCGUCAACU